CUAGACAUAUCAAGAGGGAGAGCGCGCAAGAGCAACCCUAGCUUCGACGGCGGUUCUUCACGCUGUGUUUAGUGUCGACGGAGACAUUGACGCGUUGGUGGCUUUUGGUUUGUGAAGGCGGCAUGUGGUGUCGUGGAUUGCAGGUGAGAGACUUGCGCUAGGAAGUGUUCGCGUCUUGCAGAUCAGAGGCGGUCUGGUCUGAAAGCAGCAGUGACGGUGAUAGCGUCGAUCGGAGAGUGGUCGGCGGCGGUUGUUGCUUACUUCUAGUUGGUUUGGAGAUUUCUUUCUGAUUCCAGCCAGUUGGUUUUGUUGCUGGCCUGAUGUAGUUUUCAAGGGUAGCGGUGGGUUGCUGGUUCAAGCCGGAUUGUCGUCGUUGAUGCAAGGCUAUCUAGAAGGGCCGGCUGUCAAAAAGCUCGACGGCGACGGUGCUAGAUUGACAGAUGCAGGCUAGGGUUUUUAUCCACUUUACUCGGUUUUGGGCUUGGGCCUUUUGGCCUGGGCUCAAAGCUGGGUUUUUAAGGUCUCUUUUGUUGACCUUUUAGGAGGGUGCCUUGCCAUCCGCACUUAUCACUUAGUGGUGAGGGUGGGCCUUGCCUAAGAGGUGGACCUUCUUGGGCAUUGAGGCCUAUGUAUGGUCCAUGACCAAUCGUUUAGAAUCAAGACUGCUAUAGGAGUUGGUAAUUAUCUGGAUUAAGAUUGGCGUAGCGGCUUAUGGAUAAGGAGUUACUCCUAUUUGUUUGCUAGGAAGUGACAUUCUGUUAGUACCACAACUGCGUGAUUGGCUAAUAGGAGGCUAGAUAAUGAUUUUGUCUUAG
rnacentral:lncRNA from 1 species